UCGAGCUUCCCUGUCCGAGGCUUGUAAACAAACAGAAAUAAACCAUGCUAAUUGCAUUCUGAACCUAAGGUCUGUGGUGGUUAUCUUUGGGGUCCCAAUCUGGGCAUAACAGGACUUCCCCAGUCGACAAGGAACACGGAGCAGUCAGGGAGCUGCCUUUGAUGGGUGCUCAGUGGAGGGGCAGAGUGGCGGUAGAGCAUUGAUCUGAGCUGGCAAUCAGAUACACCAGGAUUUGCCAGUUCUAGGCUGCCAGGAUGCUGCUGGGAUCCCACGGGACCCUGCAUCACAGGCAGGCCCUGGAGGACAGGAAUUACAGCUCUUCCCACAACAAUAAUUUUUUUCUUCUCCUUUUGCAAAGAAUGGAGUCAGAAGGAACUGGAUUUCCUGAUCACUCUGCAGCACUCCCAAAGACAGCUAGCAGGUGUGCAGAGCACUGAGGAGCCAAAGGUGCACACAGACACCCUCAGGAGGACCCCUGAGGAAGGCAGAGCACCCCCACGAGUCCACAACCAGAAGUAAAUACCAGAAGAGAUACCAAGUAUUACCACUAGUGGGACCUACACUACAGGACAGAAAGUUCCUGUGUCUGCAUGAAAGAAGUGCUUGGAACCGUACAGGAACAAAAAAAACCAAAACAACAACAACAAAAAAGCUAUGCCACUGACAAGCCAGCCCAGCCCAGGCGGGCUCCUCCUCACUGUUGAGAAGAAGGCUAUGUCUCUCAACAAGCUUUCUUCUGACAAGUCCAUUCUGUCACUUCUUCGUAGGAGAGAAAUGAAACCUGGAGGCAAAUCCCUAACUCCAAGAAGCUCAAUGUGGUCAGGAUACUAAAACCUAUUAAUAGGAGAAGGGCACUGUAGAAAAAGAAAGCUACAGGGGUCCCCACCCCGGCCAUCAAUCUCCUUUACGAAGGCUCUGUUGUCAGUCUCUUGUUACAUUUCAUAAUAGGUUUUCAAAACGGAUCUUGGUUGUGAGACCCAAGGGGCAGACACAGUGCGUGCUCACGGCAGAGUGGCUCACAGAGAAGGGCCUGCAGACGCUGAUUGAAUUCGUUUGAUUGGAUUGAACUGAACAGAUUUAAAUGGAGAUUCUCAGGAUGAGGCAUUUAAUAAACCUUAGUCUAAUCGAACUAGACUGGCAAAAUAAAGCAUCGUAAAUCCAUAUCCUGGAACACUGUGACUUCCUGAGACAGUCAUCUCCCCGUCCCAAAGCAGCCCAGAGGGACCCAUUCAGGCUUCCCUGGUUGCUGACAGGGCAGUGUCUCCAGGAUUUACAAAUCCACUAGGAAAUGACAAUGAAAGUAACCAAUGGCUCCGUGCAGUUACCUCAUUUGCACGCUGUUAAAACUGCGUAAAAGGAUUUAUGUUUAGAGAGGCAUAGAUAUAUAUGGUACACCUAAAAUAUACAUCUAAUUUUAGAGUAGCUUAUUAAUGUAUUGACUCACGUCUAGCUGAGCACACCAGACGGACGCAUGAAUUCUUAAGUACUCUCCGAUAGCCCGAUUGAUUAGUGCACUGGUUUCCUAACAUAGUCCCAGUUAAUCACCCCCACUUGAUAGCUUGAAACAGCCGAAAUGGGUUCUCUCACCAGAGUCUGAGGUCAAGAUGGCAGCUGGGCUGGGUCAGUCUUGGAACCUGGCAGGGUGGAGUCCACUCUCUGCCUCUUUCCUGGCCUCUCGGGGUUGCCAGCAGUCCUUGGCAAUAUUUGACCAGUACCCACAUCAGUCCAGUUUCUCCCUCCAUUGCCCAAGUCUUCUCUCCCUCUGUCUCCACACGGCCACCAAUUCUUAGCUAAUUGCGUUUUCAAGAACUGUAUUUCCAAUUAGUUAGGAGUGUGAGGGUCCGUGCGGGUAUGAAUUUUAAGGGGGCACUGCUUAACCAUAUGCAAAUAGGUCUCAUGUAACUGAGCCUGGCCUUGAACUCUUGACCCUCCUGGUUCCACUUCCCCAGCACUUGGAUUACAAAGGUAUGUCCACCACAGUCGAUGCCAGUCCAACACAAAGCUCUAUCGAGUGAUGCUACCAUGUGACAUCAUCUAACUUAUCACUAAUUUGGGAAGAUAGUUUUCCCCCUUUUCAAGAUUUUUUUCAAACACAGAUAUUAGUAUUAUUUAGAUGCAAUUUUCAUGCAGUCAAGUUCACAGGUCUUAAAGUCACAUUUGAGUUUCAGCAAAAGCAUACACCAAUGCAGCCCAUACCCCACUCAAAAUAUUGACUGUUGAGCUGAGUACCCUAGUGGUAUAGCUCUUCCAGUAUAGCCCAGUGGUAGAGCACUUUCCUGGCACACACCAGGAUCUUGGGUUCGAUUUUCAAUACCUCAAAACAUUAAAUAAAUAACUAUUUUGUCUCCUUGGAAAG